rnacentral:tRNA from 1 species
GCUCGGGUGGCAUAAAUGGUUAAGUGCUUGAUUGUUAACCGAGAGGUUGGUGGUUCGAACCCACCCAGUGGCU